rnacentral:rRNA from 1 species
GACGAACGCUGGCGGCGUGCUUAACACAUGCAAGUCGAACGGAAAGGCCCUGCUUUUGUGGGGUGCUCGAGUGGCGAACGGGUGAGUAACACGUGAGUAACCUGCCCUUGACUUUGGGAUAACUUCAGGAAACUGGGGCUAAUACCGGAUAGGAGCUCCUGCUGCAUGGUGGGGGUUGGAAAUUUUCGGCGGUUGGGGAUGGACUCGCGGCUUAUCAGCUUGUUGGUGGGGUAGUGGCUUACCAAGGCUUUGACGGGUAGCCGGCCUGAGAGGGUGACCGGCCACAUUGGGACUGAGAUACGGCCCAGACUCCUACGGGAGGCAGCAGUGGGGAAUAUUGCACAAUGGGCGGAAGCCUGAUGCAGCAACGCCGCGUGCGGGAUGACGGCCUUCGGGUUGUAAGCCGCUUUCGCCUAUGACGAAGCGUGAGUGACGGUAAUGGGUAAAGAAGCACCGGCUAACUACGUG